rnacentral:lncRNA from 1 species
GAACAAGGGGGAAUGGUUUUAAACUGAGACAGGGGAGGUUUAGGUUGGAUAUUAGAAGGAAGUUUUUCACACAGAGGUUAAUGGCAUCCUGUUCCAGGGUUUCAUAAUCACUGUAUCAGUGGGGUUGGAAAAGACCACUGAGUUCACCGAGUCUAACCAUCAACCCAUCACCAUCAUGCCAACUAGCCAUGUCACUUAGUGCCACAAACACAUACUUUC